rnacentral:rRNA from 1 species
UAGGGAAUAUUGCAAAAUGGGCGAAAGCCCGAUGCAGCAACGCCGCGUGGGCGAUGAAGGCCUUCGGGUCGUAAAGCCCUUUUUGAGGGGAUGAGGAAGGACAGUACCCUCAGAAUAAGCCUCGGCUAACUACGUGCCAGCAGCCGCGGUAAAACGUAGGAGGCGAGCGUUAUCCGGAUUUACUGGGCGUAAAGCGCGUGCAGGCGGAUUGGAGAGUUGGAUGUGAAAGCUCCCGGCUUAACUGGGAGAGGUCGUUCAAUACUUCCAGUCUUGAGGGCAGUAGAGGGAAGUGGAAUUCCGGGUGUGGUGGUGAAAUGCGUAGAUAUCCGGAGGAACACCAGUGGCGAAAGCGGCUUCCUGGACUGUAACUGACGCUCAGACGCGAAAGCUAGGGUAGCAAACG